UUUUCUUUUUCUUUCUUUUCUUUCUUCUUCCUCUGCCUUCUCCCGCGCGACACCCCCCUCUCCCUCUCUCUCCCCGUGCGUUUCUUCUCCUCCACCACCCAGCCACCGCCGCGCGCCGCCGUGACUGACCCCGCCCCGCCCAUUCGCUCCCCCACCUACCGGCGACCCCUCCCCUCCGAUUUCAGCUCCUCCAGUACAGCCGUUUCCUCCCACGCACGACGCAAGGCCGCGGCACCUCUUGUGUUCGCGCGCCGCCGUCGUGCACCUCCGGCCACAAUUUCUUCACCACUUCAUCCUUGACCUCCUAGCAACCCAAUGGACCCAACCCCAGCUCCGAUCCGUCACCGGUGAAGCACAUCCAAUCCCAUUUUCGAUUUGGGUAUUUUUGGUCUUCAACCACCCUCUACGCCGUCACCCACGGCCAACCACCACCACUACUAGCUUCACCGAUAUCCCUAAGUCCUACCCUAUCAAUCUCGGGUCUUGGUUUGUCCCCAUUCAAAAGUGAGUUUUUAAGACCCACGGCUACAGUGCAUUUUGCAUUGUUACGUUGCUGAGCCGCCACUUCUUGCACCUCCGUGAUCUUCCGAAAAUUAUUAUAUAGUGCUUAACGCAAUGAGCUCCUCUUCUGCUGCUGCUGCUGCUGCUUCAUCAACUUCUUCUCAACUCGCUUCCUCCAAAGACAAAUUUUUCUGGGGCUGCCUUUUCGUCGCAAUCGGCUCUGUCUUCUUUGUCAGUUUUCUCUUUGCAGCCGUUGUGUCCAAGCUCCUUCCCCCAUCCAAUAACGCCCUGAUCUCCGCCAUUCAAAACGACUGGUAUUACUGCUUCUUAGUGCCUCUGACUCUCCCUGUUCUUGUGGUUGCUGUAUAUUUUCAUUGGCUCAGUAUGAAAUUGUUCAAGCACGCAUGAUUUUUGCUUGAAGCCAUCAGGGAGUUCAACCUCUUCUGUAUAAGAUGCCAUGCUGUUUCUUUUGCAUGUAUGAGAGCUCCCAAACAUUUUAGCAGACAAAUCUUAUUUCUAAACUUUCCUUUCCUGGGCACAUUAACAUUGCAAAAGGAGGAUUUGAAGUUCGAUGAUUCGAUCCCUUGACAAUAGAAGCAUAGAUAUCCUGAUUUUGAAGGCAUCCAAAAGAAUAAUUGCAAAACAAUUUGUUCUGCACAGUAGCUAGAUGACAUUACAUACACUGAUACAAGUGAAUAAAGUGAGAGAUUGUUCAGCGUGUGGGUUUCAUGCUUGCAAAAGCAGAUGUAAAAAUUGUUUAUCUGUGGUUGGAGGGUAGAUUUGGGCAAUAAUUCUGCUUGUAGAGCAGUCGAUUGGUCUAUGUUCAAACUUCCACCAGAAAGCCUUCAAUGAGUCAUGUACUGUUGGACUGGAGUGCUGAAGGGCCGAAGGCAAUGAGACUGAAUGACAGAGACUCAAAUAGAACACAGCAAUCGAGGAUCCAAAAGACAAUAAAACAAAACAUGAGAAGUGGUUUUAAGAACCCAAGGUGCAUUUUUCUUUUCUUCUUUUUUUAAAUGCUGGUGUCUGUAUAUGGACAUUGUUCUUUUUCAAAAUAAAACAUGAGUUAAUUUGGAAUGCA